CGCAUAAGUCGAACCUAGACCACGUGCGUCGGAAACAAUAAUGAAUUAUAGCAGCGAAUUCAUCAGUGAAGAGGCUGUUUCUUGGCUACAGUCGCAUGGAAUGAGACUUAAUAAAGGAAAGGUAAGCAAAAGAAAUUUCCUAACAACGCAUUUUACUGCAACUUUACAUUCACAAACUUGACCGCUCCAUUGAUCUUUGUUCGUAUCUUAUCUUGCAGAAAAGGACGGUUGCGAUGGCCAAGAUCUCCUUGCCAUCGCCCAAGAUGCAGACGUACCAAGGCACUACAUCCUUAUUAUAAAAGAGCGUCUAAAGUUCAAGAAAUUGAUUGCAAUGAACGCUGAACCUAGAGAUGACACGAGUUCUUCGUCGCGUGCAGAAUCAAGUCCUUCGAGUAAGACGGUUCAAACGUCGAUUGAUGAUUCAGAUAACAUCAGCGAUUAUGAAAAUUUAGAGGUGACAUUGGCACCGUAAGAAAAGAGUAAAUCGCCCAAGGAUCUCUGUUUUACGGACGAGGCGACAGAACUGAGUACUGUCUAAG